rfam:Corchorus olitorius cultivar O-4 contig18294, whole genome shotgun sequence.
GUGAUGAGAGGCUGUCUUGUUAGCCAAAGGAGACUGCCUGUUUGCCAUUCAAGAAUAUGCUUAUUUCAUGAAUGUGCAGUUUAUUAUGGCACUGGAGUUUAUAAACACACUCCUGCGAGGCCAUAGGCAAAUCAUCCUUGGCUACAAAACAGAAACUCCAAUCU